UUCUUUUAGGUUAUGUUAAAGGUAAUUUCUGCCCUAUGAUUAAUUUAAUGGCUGCAGUAUUUUGACUGUACAAAGGUAGCAUAAUAAUUAGUUUUUUAAUUGAGGACUGGAAUGAAAGGAUACAUGAGGAAUUUUUUUUAUUAAAUUUAUUAUUAAAAUUUUAUUUUUUGGUAAAAAAGCUAAAAUGUUUUUUAGGGACGAGAAGACCCUAUAGAACUUUAAAUUUAUAUUUAUUUAUUUUGUUURGUUUAUUAUUAAGAUAAAUUAGUUUAAAUUUUUAAUUGGGGUGAUUAAUAAAUUUGAAUAACUUUAUUUGAUAAAAUCAUUGAUUUAUGAUUUAUUGAUCUUUAUUAAGGAUUAUAAGUUAAGUUACCUUAGGGAUAACAGCGUAAUUUAAAUUGAAAGUUCAUAUUUAUAUUUAAGUUUGCGACCUCGAUGUUGAAUUAAGAAAAAUUUAAGGUGUAGGUGCUUUAAUUUUUAGUCUGUUCGACUAUUAGAUUCUUACA
rnacentral:rRNA from 1 species